UGAGGAACUGCUCGAGAUACGUUAUGAGAAACUUCAUUUAGCCGAUGCGUAAAGUAUAUCAUUUUUGACAUAAAGUGCCGCCGACUGUCAUCGUCGAUUCCCGCUUCUACAGUCAGGCGCGAUUCGCGCGUCAGGACUCUCAUAAAGUGAACUGACAUGAAUCAAUGAAUCGCGUGAGAUCAGAAGUGACACAUUUGAAUGAACGUGCCAUAGUUUGAAGAUGAGUAUGAAUUAUUCCCAUGUAAUAUUGUGAUGGCUUCCUCAACCGAGAGACCCCGCAAUUCAGGAGCAGAGGAGAAGCAAACUGUGAAGGCCCGGCUCCUAUCUUCACAGAUGCUUCUAGUGGAUGCCCUCUAUCACCUGGGCCCUCUGCUAGACAGUGUUAUAUCUAUAGGGCUGCUCUCUAGAGAAAACUGUUAUGAAAUUGAAGCUGAGCGAACGCCGCCCAACAAAGUCCGAAAACUUCUAGAAAUUGUUGACGCACAGAUGGAUGAAAGUGGUGCCUCUAGUUUCAUGGAGUGUCUGAGGAAAUGCAAGAAACAUUACCCGCGUCUACGAACCUGGUUGACCUCAGAAGAAGGUAUGCGAUGACUGAAGUUGCAUUCUGUCUUAAAAC
rnacentral:lncRNA from 1 species